CGCGAGAGCGCGCAGCGCACCGACGCGCUGCUGAGACACUUUAAUGAGAAGGGUUGCGGCGGCUCUUCCCCGGGGCGGACGGACACACUGCAGGCACUUUGCAAGAGACUGUGGAACAGUAGCAUGCCCAGGCUAGUGUGCUGGAGAAUGAGAGACACUUGAAGCAAAGCAGAACCCAGGCACCUGGCAGCGGCCAGUCCAGAUCGGCUGACAGCCAGCUGACACCUAAACAUGUGAGCAAGCCAACCAAGAUCAGCAGAGCCACCCGGCUGACCCUCAACUGACCCCAGUUACACAUCUGUGUGAGGCUGGACUUUCCGUAUUACUUCAACCAAAACAACACAUCACAGAAGACUGAAUGCAAAAGCAG